CGGGCAUCAACCUCCACUUGGAGGGUGUUCUAAAAGGCAGAGAGUUGAGCCCACUAGUGGAGUUCCUAAGUCGGCUCUCAGCCCAUCAGAUGUCUGCUUUCAGGACAGGUCCUCCCUCUCGGUUACUGUCUGACAUGUCGGUUAUCUCUGGAAGCGUCCUCACAGACAUACUGAGGAGUGGGCUUUACUCGCUUCUUAGGCAUCUCUGAAUCUAAUAAAAUUGACCAUCAAGAUCAAUCCUCAGGGAAACAGGGUUAUAGAAGACCACUGUGGGAAUUGGUGAUCCGGAUCCCCAAAAUAGCAUAUUUCUGCUAAAAAAAAAUUCACUGGUCAUGUGACCAUGUUAAGUCAAUAAGAAGAAUUUUGGUUGACAGCUUUUGGUUGACAGAAUUUUGUGACAGUCUCUGCCACACAGAGAUAAAGAGAAGCAAAAGACACCCCAGUUGUUAUUAAUAGGCCAAAGUAAAAGA
rnacentral:lncRNA from 1 species